AGCGAACGCUGGCGGCAGGCUUAACACAUGCAAGUCGAGCGGGCAUAGCAAUAUGUCAGCGGCAGACGGGUGAGUAACGCGUGGGAACGUACCUUUUGGUUCGGAACAACACAGGGAAACUUGUGCUAAUACCGGAUAAGCCCUUACGGGGAAAGAUUUAUCGCCGAAAGAUCAGCCCGCGUCUGAUUAGCUAGUUGGUGAGGUAAUGGCUCACCAAGGCGACGAUCAGUAGCUGGUCUGAGAGGAUGAUCAGCCACAUUGGGACUGAGACACGGCCCAAACUCCUACGGGAGGCAGCAGUGGGGAAUAUUGGACAAUGGGCGCAAGCCUGAUCCAGCCAUGCCGCGUGAGUGAUGAAGGCCCUAGGGUUGUAAAGCUCUUUUGUGCGGGAAGAUAAUGACGGUACCGCAAGAAUAAGCCCCGGCUAACUUCGUG
rnacentral:rRNA from 1 species